UUAAGUUCAGCGGGUAUCCCUACCUGAUCCGAGGUCAACCUGAAAAAAAUUGGGGGUUGCUGGCGAGCACACGACCGGACCUCCAGAGCGAGAAGAAUUACUACGCUCGGAGCCGGACGGCACCGCCACUGACUUUAGGGCCGCCGGGGCGGCGGGGCCCAACACCAAGCUGAGCUUGAGGGUUGUAAUGACGCUCGGAC
rnacentral:misc_RNA from 1 species